AUGAUGAGCCGGGCCACCCCCGACCAGGAGCGAGCGCCGGCGUCCGAGCCCGUGUGGGAGCGUCCCUGGUCGGUGGAGGAGAUCCGCAGGAGCAGCCAGAGCUGGUCGCUGGCGGCCGACGCGGGCCUACUACAGUUUCUGCAGGAAUUUUCACAGCAGACUAUCUCUAGGACUCAUGAAAUCAAGAAACAAGUGGACGGACUAAUCCGGGAGACUAAAGCCACCGACUGCCGCCUACACAAUGUCUUCAAUGACUUCCUUAUGCUCUCUAAUACCCAGUUCAUUGAAAACCGUGUAUAUGAUGAGGAGGUGGAGGAGCCGGUGCUCAAGACUGAGGCAGAAAAACCAGAACAGGAAAAGACCCGGGAACAGAAAGAAGUGGAUCUGAUUCCUAAAGUCCAGGAGGCUGUGAACUACGGUUUGCAGGUGUUGGACAGUGCAUUUGAGCAACUAGACAUAAAAGCAGGAAGCUCAGACUCUGAAGAGGAUGAUGCUAAUGAGCGGAUGGAAUUGAUCCUUGAGCCAAAGGACCUGUACAUUGACCGCCCUUUACCUUAUUUAAUUGGGUCAAAGCUGUUCAUGGAGCAGGAAGAUGUAGGCCUGGGAGAGCUUUCUAGUGAAGAAGGUUCAGUGGGCAGUGAUCGUGGGAGUAUUGCAGACAGUGAGGAAGAGAACGAAGAAGAGGAGUCAGAUGAAGAUUUUGCCAAUCACAGUGACAGUGAUCAAAACCGGCACACGGCACAGAUGAGUGACGAAGAGGAGGACGAUGGUUGCGACCUUUUUGCUGACUCUGAGAAGGAGGAGGAGGAUGCUGAAGACGUUGACGAGCGUUCUAGACCCAAAAGAAGCAGGCCUACGUCAUUCGCUGAUGAACUGGCAGCUCGGAUCAAAGGGGACGCCUCAAGCCGGAUGGAAGAGGAGCGCGCAACCUUAUCCCCGGGGGAAGCAAAACCUCAGAAGACGUUGAAGGAGAAGAAGGAAAGGAAAACUCCCUCAGAUGAUGAAGAAGAUAACUUAUUCGCACCCCCGAAGCUGACAGAUGAAGACUUCUCGCCGUUUGGUUCUAGAGGCGGCCUGUUCAGUGGAGGGAAGGGACUUUUUGAUGAUGAGGAUGAGGAGAGUGACCUCUUCACAGAAGCCCCUCGGGAUCGGGGAGCUCGAACCCCUGUUAAUGAAGCAUCUUCAUCCUCUAAACCUGGAAAGAAAAUCCCGGCAGGAGCUGUUUCUGUGUUUUUAGGGGAUACUGACAUGUUCGGUGGCGCCUCUUCCCCGGCACUGAAGGAGCCCCAGAAGCACGAGCAGCCCCCUCCAGGGAAAAGCGCGCACGUCCCAGCAUCUGCUGGCCUCUUUGAUGAUGACGACGACGACGACGACUUUUUCGCGGCAUCCCGUAGCAAACCUCCCAAGACAGACAGAGUCAGACCCACUGCCAGCAUCUUCGACGAUGAAGGAGAUCUGUUCGAAGAAAAAGCAGUGGCUUUGCCAGAAGCGACUGUGAACCAGACAGACGAAGAUAAAGCAAGAGCAGAAACAAAGGUUAUGCUACCUUCCAGCAAAAAUCUCAAGCUUUCAUCGGAAACAAAGACUCACAAAGGCUUAUUUUCAGAUGAGGAGGACUCUGAGGAUUUGUUUUCUUCUCAAAGUGUGAGUAAGCCAAAAGAUGCAACUCUGCUGCCUGGCAAACCCCCCAGCUCAGUCUUGCUUUUCGAUGAUGAAGAUGGACAGGAUAAUCUUUUUGAUACUCCAGCUGCUAAGAAGCAGACAUCGGCUCUACUGACUCAGAGCCAAAAGAAAGCAAAGCCCUCUGAGCCUCCCAAAAAGAAAGCAUCUGCCUUACUGUUCAGCAGUGAUGAGGAGGACCAGUGGCAUAUUACUGACUCACAGACCAACUUGACAUCUGACAAGUCUAAAGGAGAUCUUAGGGACCCUGAGACCACCCACCAGGAGGUUAAGGCCUUGAAGAAGACCAGCCUCUUUGAGGAGGAUGACGAGGAUGACCUAUUUGCUGUUGCCAAGGACAGCCAGAAGAAGGCCCAGAGAGCAUCACUGCUGUUUGAGGACGACGGUGGCAGCGGAAGCUCCCUGCUCGGCUCUCCGCCCGCACCUGCCGCUCCCGCAGCCACGAAAAAAGAGACUGUCCCUGAAGUACCGCCUUUGCUGUUCAGCGAUGGAGAAGAAAAGGCGGCGCAGUCUGGAGUGAAACCUGCAGCGAAGAAGGCUGAGCGUGCCCAGGGGACCUCGGAAUUGGGGAGAACUCCUGUGGUCAAGGAGCCAGGAAAGGAAGGAUCUUUGAAUGCACCUACUCAGGAAACAGCCAAGAACUCUGAUUUGUUUUCUUCGUCGUCCCCAUUGGACAAAGGACCUAAAAGUAGAACCAAAACGGUUCUUAGCUUAUUUGAUGAGGAAGAGGAUAAAACAGAAGAUCAAAGCAGCUUCCAGGCUCUGAAAAAGGAAGCAGGAAAGAGUCCUGAUCCUGGUACCCGCCCCAAGAGCACAGGUGUCUUUCAGGAUGAAGAGCUCCUUUUUAGUCACAAGCUCCAAAAGGACAACGACCCAGAUGUUGACCUUUUCUCUGGCACCAAAAAAUCCAGGUUGUUCGAGCCCAGUGUGGGGAGCCUGUUCGGAGACGACGAAGACGAUGAUCUCUUCGGCUCUGCCAAGUCACAGCCUUCGAUCCCAGGAAAGAAGAAGGUAGUGAAAAAAGACAACUCUGUCUUUUCCUCUGUCAAGAACCAGAAGCAUCCUGAAUCCACUCAGGGUAUCAAAGAAAAAGACACAUGGAAAUCGGAAACAUCUCAGGCAAAUUUAGCGAUCAACCCAGCAGCCUUGCUGCCUCCAGCAGCUCCCCAGAUCUCUGGAAUGAAGUCUGUUUUGCCAGAAUCUGGUGUUCCUUCGUCUGAACCUGGAAGGAUGCAGAGUCUGGAAAGUGUGCCCACUCCUGGGAGUGGGGAGGCUGGUGUGAGUUUUGACCUUCCCGCUCAGGCAGAUACCUUACACUGUGCAAACAAGACCCGGGUCAAAGUGAGAGGGAAGCGCAGACCACAGACACGUGCCGCCCGGCAGCUGGCUGCCCAGGAGUCCACCGAGGCCGAGGAUAUGGGUUCCCCCACGGGAUUUGUGGCACAGUUGACAGAUGGCACCACAUCACCAGGUGGUCGUCAGCCACCGCUGAGGGCAGUUGGUGGAGCAGACACCCCUGAAGAAGCAGUGGCAGCUGCCACUCCAACGUGGGCAGGUGGUCCUGUGCCUGGAAUGAACAGUGGCCCGUUUGCGAAAUCUGUGGGUCAGCCUCUUGAGGAUGAUCUGUUUGAUUCUGCAGAUAUCUUUUCCAAGGGCAUUGCAUCUCAGUCCUCAGGAAGAAGAAAAACCAAAGCGAAGGCAGCCGGCAGCCUGGCCAACCUGGGGGAGGGAAGUAAAGACAGACGCCCCAUGUUCCCUGCUCUCGGUGAGGCGGGCAGUGAUGAUGAUCUCUUUCAGUCUGCUAAACCAAAACCAGCAAAGAAGACAAAUCCUUUCCCUCUCCUGGAAGAUGAGGACGAUCUGUUUACAGACCAGAGAGGCACAAAGAAUGGGUCAAAAUCCAACAGUCAACAGGAUAUUAUCUCAAAAGCACAAGAUAUAUUUGAGGAUGAUAUAUUUGCUACAGAAGCAAUUAAACCCUCACAGAAAACAAGAGAGAAGGAAAGAACAUUUGACUCCAACUUAUUCGAUGAUAACAUUGAUAUCUUUGCUGACCUAACUGUAAAACCAAAAGAAAAGUCUAAAAAGAAAGUGGAAGCUAAGUCUAUAUUUGACGAUGAUACAGAUGACAUCUUCUCCUCUGGUAUCCAGACUAAGACAACCAAAUCAAAAAGUGGAUCUUCACAGACAGUGACUGAAUCAAGAUCUGGACAGAAGGUUUCCAACAUAUUUGAUGACCCCUUGAAUGCCUUUGGAGGCCAGUAGAGUGUCCAGGGUAUCUUUCAGCUACAUCCUUGGGUCAAUGAUGCUGUCUUCUGUGCUCCUUAACUGAAUUAUAGAAAACGAACACUGAAACAGCUUACUCGCCUCUUACCCAGCAUACUUAAUAUUUUUCUGUACUGGUUUUAAAAUCAUGCUUAAUUCUGCAAACAAAAAUAAAUGUCUCACAGUGUUACUAU
rnacentral:lncRNA from 1 species